rnacentral:lncRNA from 1 species
GAGAAGAAAUAAGGGAUGCUCUGGUGGAGAAAUGGUUCCGAUUGCGGUUAGGGAAGUAAGAGGAGGUAAGACGCAAUCUGGUGGAAGUUGAGUGGCGGCGGAGGAAAGGAGGUGGAGGAGGAGAAAACCUAGAUGGAAGUUCCGAUUGCGGUUAGGGAAGUAAGAGGAGGUAAGACGCAAUCUGGUGGAAGUUGAGUGGCGGCGGAGGAAAGGAGGUGGAGGAGGAGAAAACCUAGAUGGAGUGAAAGGGAACAGAACGGAGAAGUGAGAUAAGUAUGUGCUGCUUGUGAGGGAUAGAGAGCGAACAGGUGCC